UACGUAGGUGGCAAGCGUUGUCCGGAUUUACUGGGCGUAAAGAGCGCGCAGGCGGUCGUUCAAGUCGCGUGUGAAAGCCCCCGGCUCAACUGGGGAGGGUCACGCGAUACUGAUCGACUCGAAGGCAGGAGAGGGAAGUGGAAUUCCCGGUGUAGUGGUGAAAUGCGUAGAGAUGCGGAGGAACACCGAUGGCGAAGGCAGCCCCCUGGGCUGACACUGACGCUCAUGCACGAAAGCGUGGGGAGCAAACAGG
rnacentral:rRNA from 1 species